rnacentral:rRNA from 1 species
GACAGAGGGUGCAAACGUUGUUCGGAAUUACUGGGCGUAAAGCGCGUGUAGGCGGCCAUCUAAGUCGGGCGUGAAAUCCCACGGCUCAACCGUGGAAGCGCAUCCAAAACUGCUUCGCUCGAGUCUCGGAGAGGAAGGUGGAAUGCUUGGUGUAGAGGUGAAAUUCGUAGAUAUCAAGCAGAACACCUGCGGCGAAGGCGGCCUUCUGGACGAUGACUGACGCUGAGACGCGAAAGCGUGGGGAGCAAACAGG